ACAAAGGCCCUUUUCAGGGCCACCCACUCCUUCAUUUGAGAGCUCU
rfam:Oryzias latipes DNA, chromosome14, strain: Hd-rR.